rnacentral:rRNA from 1 species
UACGGAGGGGGCGAGCGUUGUCCGAAGUUACUGGGCGUAAAGCGCGCGUAGGCGGGUGGGUAAGUCCGCUGUGAAAGCCCGGAGCUUAACUCCGGAGGGUCGGUGGAUACUGCCCAUCUUGAAGGUGCUAGGGGCAGAUGGAAUUCCGGGUGUAGCGGUGGAAUGCGUAGAGAUCCGGAAGAACACCGGUGGCGAAGGCGGUCUGCUGGGCAGUAGCUGACACUGAGGCGCGACAGCGUGGGGAGCAAACAGG